rnacentral:rRNA from 1 species
GACGAACGCUGGCGGCGUGCUUAACACAUGCAAGUCGAACGGAAGGGCCCUGCUUUUGUGGGGUGCUCGAGUGGCGAACGGGUGAGUAACACGUGAGUAACCUGCCCUUGACUUUUGGAUAACUUCAGGAAACUGGGGCUAAUACCGGAUAGGAGCUCCUGCUGCAUGGUGGGGGUUGGAAAGUUUCGGCGGUUGGGGAUGGACUCGCGGCUUAUCAGCUUGUUGGUGGGGUAGUGGCUUACCAAGGCUUUGACGGGUAGCCGGCCUGAGAGGGUGACCGGCCACAUUGGGACUGAGAUACGGCCCAGACUCCUACGGGAGGCAGCAGUGGGGAAUAUUGCACAAAGGGCGGAAGCCUGAUGCAGCAACGCCGCGUGCGGGAUGACGGCCUUCGGGUUGUAAACCGCUUUCGCCUGUGACGAAGCGUGAGUGACGGUAAUGGGUAAAGAAGCACCGGCUAACUACGUG